GGGGGCGCACUGGUUUCGACCGGUUUACAUGUGCCGCCGAGCUGCGUGUCGGGGAUCCCAGGUCACCCCGCUAAUCAUCCCGGGAAAGGCAAUUUACUUGCCGACAACAACUACGCACUGGCAGCUUGAUCUGCCCGUUGCUGCAGAGAGUGCCCGUGGCUCUGCAGGAACGCCAUUUAGCGGGCUGGUCACAAAGCUGCGCCUCAGGGCCGCGUGACGAGACAUUUCUGAGGCUGGUGUCGAAGCAACGUGCCCACGGGCGGCUUCGACACGAGAUCUUUGCCGGUGGGAUACACACGUAGACGCUUGGAUGAGCUCUGAUUCUGGGACGGGGGUUCGACUCCCCCCGCCUCCACCA
rnacentral:tmRNA from 1 species